CUUUCAUCUCAAGAUGUGUAGGAGGUC
rnacentral:piRNA from 1 species